CACAAGGGAGAAUAGGGUUCACGGUACAGUGGGUCACAAUUUCACAAAUCCACCAUAUCCAAAUCCAUCCCCAUCUCCCCUGCGAUCAGUUUCCACUACUCACCAGUCACCAGUUCCACCACUCAUUUUCAAAUUCACAAUCCCUCUCUAUACUCUCAAACCUCAUCACAUAAAUUUUCUCUUAGCACAAACCCUAAAUCCAUCUGAACCCACAGCCACAGCAAUGGCCGGCCAAUCUGACCCUCAACUCUCACUUUUUUCUGCCGAAGAGGUUGAGUUCAUUGCGGAGGACGAAAUGGUCGAGAUCGUCCCCAAUCUCCGAAUGGAUGCACUCAAUUUUGUCUGCGGGGAUUUUGGUCCUUUCUUCCCACAACUAGCUACUCAGGUCCCACUUUGGCUUGCGGUGGCGUUGAAGAAGAGAGGGAAGUGCACUAUUCGACCGCCUCAGUGGAUGACAGUAGAAAAGCUGACGCAGGUUUUGGAAGCAGAGCGAGAUUCUCAACGAGUGUUUGAGCAACUACCAUUCCAUUAUGUGGAGAUCUCAAGACUUCUUUUUGACCAUGCACGUGAUGACAUCCCCGAUGUAUAUAUGGUGAGGUCUCUUAUUGAGGACAUCAGGGAUGUAAGGUUUCAUAAAGUUGAGACUAAUUUAGAGUCACUUAAUGAGCGUGCCUUUGCUUUGAAGAUUAACAAUCUAUCUGCUAUGGAAGUGAACAUAGUUCGCCCGUUUGUUGGGAGAGCCCUACAAGCAUUUUAUAAGCAUGAUAGUCCAGACUUGAUACCAGAUCAAGAUAGAGUAUCUGAUAGACGACCACAAGUAGCUAACAAUGCAACAAGACGGCAUCUGCGGCGAUAAUGUCAUCUUUCUAAUCACCAUCCAUCUCAAUUGGAAAGCGAGCUAGUUUGGAGGUUUGUUGUGGGUUCAGUUCUGCCUCCCACCCUACAACAUACACUCUCUGCCCCAAAAAAAGAAGACAGGAAUUAAAGGAUUCAACUUAAAUUAGUUGGGAUGCAGUAAUAUGUUGUUUGUCCUAGGUUGUUUUAUUACCCUAUCACUUGUACUAGAGUCUAACAUGUUUAGUGUUCAGAUUGUUGGUUAGUUUAGUUUGUUGUCUGAUCAAUGUAGUUGGGGUUUCUGUGACUCUUUUCAGUGCAUUAUACGUGAUUCACUGUGACUGUCAAUUAGUUUGAUUUGUGUUUGCUUCAUGAUUCUCAAAUCAUCAUGAGUUAAAUUUGGGUCUUUUACAUCAUUCCGGCUACAGUCAGCUCUGAAUCUAAUUUUGGUUGUCUGUAACAUUAUCUUUGGAGAGAAAUGUGAAUUUUGAAAAAUGUUCUUUUAAA